rnacentral:tRNA from 1 species
GCGGCUAUAGGUUAACGGUAGACUUAUCGUCUUCCAAACGAUGUGUGUCGAUUCGAAUUCGACUGGCCG